UCACAUAGAGAGAAUAUGAUUGAGGUUCACAUAGAGAAAAUAUGAUUGAGGUUCACAUAGAGAGAAUAUGAUUGAGGUUCACAGAGAGAGAAUAUGAUUGAGGUUCACAUAGAGACUAUGAUUGAGGUUCACACAGAGAGAAUUAAAAAAAAG